CCAGACAGCCAGGAUGUUGGCUUAGAAGCAGCCAUCAUUUAAAGAAAGCGUAAUAGCUCACUGGUCGAGUCGGCCUGCGCGGAAGAUGUAACGGGGCUAAACCAUGCACCGAAGCUGCGGCAGCGACGCUUAUGCGUUGUUGGGUAGGGGAGCGUUCUGUAAGCCUGCGAAGGUGUGCUGUGAGGCAUGCUGGAGGUAUCAGAAGUGCGAAUGCUGACAUAAGUAACGAUAAAGCGGGUGAAAAGCCCGCUCGCCGGAAGACCAAGGGUUCCUGUCCAACGUUAAUCGGGGCAGGGUGAGUCGACCCCUAAGGCGAGGCCGAAAGGCGUAGUCGAUGGGAAACAGGUUAAUAUUCCUGUACUUGGUGUUACUGCGAAGGGGGGACGGAGAAGGCUAUGUUGGCCGGGCGACGGUUGUCCCGGUUUAAGCGUGUAGGCUGGUUUUCCAGGCAAAUCCGGAAAAUCAAGGCUGAGGCGUGAUGACGAGGCACUACGGUGCUGAAGCAACAAAUGCCCUGCUUCCAGGAAAAGCCUCUAAGCAUCAGGUAACAUCAAAUCGUACCCCAAACCGACACAGGUGGUCAGGUAGAGA
rnacentral:rRNA from 1 species